ensembl:lncRNA
UAAAUAAAAAUGUAGUGGUGCAAGACUUAAGGGAAAGGUAGAAAAGCACAGACGUUUACUAUCUUUUUGAUUCCUUAACACAAAAGGCUUCUGGUAUCUGGCUUGGCGUACAUGGCAGGAAUAUAAGAGCUGACAAAAUUCACAUAGGCAGUAAUCCAGUCAUCAACUCUCUGCCCAAGAAGAAUCCUCAUUCACCUUACACUUGUCUGUAUGUACAAGUAUCUAUGUAUCUAUGAGGGUUACAAGAAAUGGAAAAAGCAAGUUCUGCAAGUACUUUUUUGUAAGGAUUUGGGAGAUUUGUAUAAGAUAAAUACUGUUUCACUAAAGUAACUUCUGAAGAGUUUGCGUUCCUUCCUCUCAUUCCACCUCUGUGAGGGAGCCUAGUGAUAGAGCAAGGGGGAAUGGUUUUAAACUGACACAGCGGAGGUUUAGGUUAGAUAGCAGGAGGAAGUUUUUCACACAGAGGGUGGUGAGGCACUGGAACAGGUUGCCCAAGGAGGCUGUGGAUGCCCCAUCCCUGGAGGCAUUCAAGGCCAGGCUGGAUGUGGCUCUGGACAGCCUGGUCUGGUGGUUGGCGACCCUGCACAUAGCAGGGGGGUUGAAACUAGAUGGUCCCUUUCAACCCAGGCCAUUCUAUGAUUCUAUGAUUUCUUAUGUGGUGUGUAAGCAAGUAAAUGUACUCUCUUUGCAGUUUGUGUAGAGAGGGAUUUUUAUUUUCCCUGCAAUUAAUGGUGUUCUGUGUGUACAGAAUGAGGCAAAGAGGCUCAACUAUGAUACUGCAAGAUGACUAGGUAUUCUUUGUUUCUUCCAAAGCAGUUGAAAUAAAAUUUAUUCUGGACUUUUUUAAUAAAGGGGAUUUUUACAUCUCAAAGGCCUACCUUUGAAGAUGCUUUGAAGAAGAACUUCAAAGAAAAAAGUCUGUGUUGUUUUGAGAUAUGCAUGCAAAUAAAAUCAUAUUCUCCUUUUUGAAAGACCUAUGCAGUUGACAUGAGGUGACAUAGGCUUGGUCAUAAAAAUUGGAUCUUCCUACUCAGCCUUGGAUUUAUACAAAAAGGCAUAGAGGAGAUAGUCUUUACUUAUCCUAAACUUGAUCAUCUGGGAGACAGUUCCAGCAGUGGUAUGUGGUAACCUCAUAACUCUAGUGCCAGUUAUUCUGGGAGUUUACGUAACCCCUAGAUUGUUCAGAAGAAAGGAUUCAUAAUAUUUGGUUCCAAGGUUGCACACACAGUGGUUUUUGACUAAACAUUGUCAGAUGUUCACAUUCCAGUUCCAUUCAUCUUGUGCUUUAACCUGUCCACCUCAGAAGACUCUGAAGUUUUCCUAGCUAUGUCUCCUGAGCAAAGGAAAUCUAUCCUCCUUUCUGAACACUGCAAAUUUUCCUCUGUUAUUUUUACUUGUGGAAACUUUCCCUCAUACUCUCCAGGCCUUGUCUCCCAGCGUCUUCUGGGUCUCAGCGUUUUUUUCUGAAGAGUUCUCUGAGCCUCUGGAAAAUCUCAGCUUUCUUUCCCAAGACCCCUCUGUUCCUGAAUAGGAGCAACUGUCUACUUCCCAACUCAAACAGUGAGUCUUCAUCCUUGAAUUUAAAGAGGUUAUUUUUUUAUUGCUAAAGAUAACCAGAAGUGGUCCUAAAUAUACCAAAAACAUGACUGCUAGUGAAAUUUUAUUGCCUGUGGCAUUCACAAAGGGAAGCAGCAACAAAUAACACUCUAAGAUAAAUACGGAAGGAGAAGGUGACAAAUCUUCUAUUUGGUGCUACUGAUAUUACUACUGGAAUCUUUGGAGCAGGAGUGGGAGACUGAAGAGAAGAAAAAGAGACUGCUAACACUCUUUCCAGGUUGCACUUGAUGUUAUUUUUUCCUGAGAUAUUUUAACAUCAUCAACAACAGCAACAACAACAAUAAAACAUAAAUAAAAGCCUGGAAACUAAUGGUGGGCUCCAGCGUCCUGAAAUUCACUGGUAACAUCUCAGUCCUGUUCAGUGGUUUCCCAUUGAUGAUGCUAGUGUAAAUAUCACAUCAGUUCCUUUGUUACCUCAAAUGCAAGAGGUCUCUGCAGAGGAUCUAACAGUCUGAUGCUAGCUGAUGAUGCAGGUAGGUGGCAAUAUAGUAUAUCUUUGAGGAGGAGGAGAAGCUGCUCUGUUUCCUUCUCUUAUAUACCUGGAAAAUCAUGUUGGAAAAGAAAAUGUUGUUAAUAUUUUCCCAGGUUAGUCUGGAUUUAAUAUGCACAGAAGUCACAGAAUCACAGUGGAAAUAGCUGCUGGAAAGUAACUCUUGAGGUCACAGCAUCGUAGGAUAGGGAAAGGUUCUCAGGAGAUCUCCAAGUCAAAGUGGGGGCUUUGAGCUCAAACUGGGUUGCCCAGGGUUUUAUCCAGCCUGUCUUGAAAUCCUCCAAGGAUAGAAGUUGCACACAUUCUGUAGCACAGCCUCUUGCUCAGACCAGAGCUAUUGACGCAUCAAAUAUUUUACAAUUUUGUCUUGAAACCUUCAAUGAUGGAGAUUCCACCACCUCUAUGGAUAACUUGUUCCAGUACUGCAUUACAGCUCUAGUGAAGAUGUUUUUCCUUAGCCAACACUGAUUUGAUCACCUUCUAGAUAUACAUCACAGAGUAAUUUCUAGUUAUGUAAAAACAUGCUAAUUUUAUACAUCAUCUACUUUUGUUCAGUGGAUAUGGAAGCUAUUGUACAUUUGCUUUUCUCUAGGUAUUUGGUUUAAAUAUUUGUAGCAUGCAUUACGAUAGUCUGAGGCAAAAGCAAUUUGGAACUGUAAAUUAGUUGCUUCAGUACUAAUGCUUGCUAAUACUCCAGCUGGAGAGGAGAAAGUCUCUCAUUGGUUCUAACAGCACAACCAGUACCAGAUGAGGCUGUGAGGAAAGGAAACGUUGUAGAAAGAAAGCAGGUAAGGAAAAUACUUUUUGCACGAGAAGAUUGCUGAUCCCCAUCUCUUUCCCUGUCUCCCUUGGACAGUGCUUGCUGACUUUUUAAAAUACUUGUACUUUACAAUUAACUGAUUCCAUCUACCAAACUGUUUCCACAUUUACUAAUUCAAUCACAAAUAGACUUUCAUACAGGAAUCAAAUGGCUUGUUGAUAGACUUGAGAAAAAAGCUUGGAAAUGCUUGCAUGUUGAAUAUUAGAUGAGGAUGAAUUUCAUAUGUGCUUCUAAAAUAAAUCAAAAUAAGCUUUGGGCAAGUCCUUUGUCCUUGGGCAACCUGCUGAAUUAGUUUUGCAAUUUCACCACUACUUUUAAAAUGUAACAGUGUUUACAAUCACUCCAAGAUCAGCAACAUGGAAUCUACAGAAGGUCAGAAAAACUGAGCUCUUAUAGAAAAAAUAGGACGUAAAUUCUGGGAACGGAAGCAGAUCAGAAAAUGUGGAAAGAAGGCUUUUCUUGUAUACAACUGGGGACUUAGUUCAGGUUGUGCUUUCUGCUAUAUGUAAUAGAAAUGAGAAGUGAUAAGAAUUGUUGCAUUUUAUUUAACCUUACAUUCAUAACAUCUGCCCUUUGCAGGCACCUGCUCUUUCCCCCGUUUAAAUAUUGAAAUAUUGUUUAAAUAUUGAAUGUUGUUUAUGAUUAAUUCAGUACAUCAAGGUAGAACAUGCAGCUCAUAUCACAGGAACGUGACAUCUUUUGUUUUCUUCAGUCUGGUUUUUGAACUGUUCAGUAAUUUAUUAUGGUUAUUAUAAUGGAGAAAGACAUUGCAGAAAAAGAAGCCAGUCAAGGUAGCAACUGAAACAAAAUACUUGCUCUGUUGUUUUAAUAGCUUGGCUAAGUGCCUACAAAAAUGUUUUAUUUUCUUUUCCAUUGUUUACACUUACUGACAGUAGGAUAGACUACUAUUCAGAAUCCCUCUAUGAACACAGCAGUGUUGCCGGUACGGUGUUGUUCCCUGCCACUGAGUCAUACUGCUAGUACAGCAUAACUCAGGGAUGCUGGGGAAGGUCCAGUAAAUGAAGUUUAACUUUUCAAAGCAAUUUCAGCCUCAGUUCUAGUGUGCACAAACAAAGGAUUAUGGACAUAGUCAUCUGACCACACCCCUGAAUCUUCAGUCGUGGCCAAUAAUCCCAAUGGUACUAAAGCGUACAAACUCAGGGAGCGCACAAAGGCUGUUCUUAUCACAAAGAUCACAAAACAGAUGGAUACAGGACAAAAGAGAAAAAGGAAAGGAAACAAUUAGGCAAUCUGGAUGUGUGUGAUCCAACAUCCUAAGCUUAAGGACGGCAGCAAGCAAUUUUUGUUCUGCAGGCACCACGGGCAAGGAUGACUUAGUAGGCUGCAGGAAAAAAUUGUAGGCUAACUUACUGACACACUCUUUGGCCCAAAGGAAAAUAUAGGCAAAGUUAUCAUUUUCUUCUGGAGUCACACUUUUUUUUUUUUUUUAAUGGUAAACUCCAUGUGCAAAAUGAUAGACCUGACUUAGAAACUUCAAUUCAACUCAAGAAAAUCCAGUUUCUAACUGAGAAGAUUUUGCCUGCAAAGAACUGUGAAAGCAAGAAGGUAGACUUCUUUUACUGAAUGUGUUAAGAGCGUGAAAUUUCACUUCCAAACUCAGAUUAUUAUCUUAAGAUCAAAGUAGGACAGUGAGUUGUUCACAGUCUGCAGAAUUUCCUGGUCAGAUGUGUAGUUGGCCUCAAGUCGCUUCUUUGUGUUGCUUGUUAAAAUGAGCCCUCUACCCCCUCUCUAGCUUGCUGGCUCAGGAUAAAUACGACCACCAUGCCUUAAAAGCAUUGAAUGACUAUUUUUUUCCAGGCUAGAAGACAUAUUGCUGGGAAGCUCUGCUAACUACGUGAAAUCUUCUCCUAGACAUUGGAAGUUGCGUUUGUAAUUUUAGACUCUGUUUUCUUAGAUAUACACAAAUGCAGAACUAAAAAUAAACAUCUCAUCCUCAAGAGAAUACACAUACACAGAAGUAUUUGUAUAGAAAACUGUUUCUAAGCAGUGCAUACACUACACAGUAUAGUGUGUAUAUAGUGUAUACCAGAGGUUUCUUUUUAAUGUGAUUUUGCUCCAAUAACUGUAAUUAGAAAAGAAGUUAAAGAUUUAAAGCGUUGUACUUUGCAUUGGAAAUACCAAACGAAAAUGGCAGCAAGAGGUCUCAGGUCCAGACGGAUCACCUGUGAUGUGUGCGCUGUAUUCCUGUGUAACAGAUGGUCUGUGUCACAAAGGGAUUGAGAGUGAAUGCAUGAUGGAAUACCAUGGAUGUGAGAGUAGUGCUAUUCCAUUAAACUAUAUAGCCUAAUAGUUUAGAGUAUGGUGAAGGACUUAUUAAACUAAGAUUUUACCAUUUUCUUGAAUUUAUCUUAGCAGAGUAGUAGGUUUAAAUGAAAACUCCUUAUAAAGUGCCUUAAAAACAGCUAUGUAGAACUGUAGGUUACAUAUAAAUUACAGUCUUCAGAGUAAAAUAACUCGCUCUACAUAUUUCCAGGUUUUAGUUGUUGGUCCCAAUAACUGGUGAUCCAAACUGUACUUAUAACUGUCAUUAAAUAUAAAGCAUAGGAAAGCUAACACAUUGAGGAACCAAGAAGUGGCAUCAUUGUGAAAGAGCGUUUAGAUUUUUUCUCUGUGUAUACAACCAAGGAUUAGAUUUGCAAACAUUUCUGAAAGAGACCAUAAGGGAAUCUCCUGGAUGGAGGCUCAAAAGCUUUUCAUUUUUCCCUUCUAAACAAGUUAUUUCUUGGGCUGAACUUCUUUAACGCUUUCUUUCACUCUACUUUUAAGAAAAGCUGAACGGAACUUCACAAGGUGUAUUUCACUACAUUUAACAGUUGUUUCCAGUGUUAUUAAGCAAAGUGUUUAUAUGUUGAUUUAUUUUUUUCUUGAGCUAACUAAAACAUGAUUUUGCCAGAAAUGCCUGAAAGAUGGCAUAUUCAUAGUCCUCUGAGGAAUGCGUACUCUGCCAAGCCCGAAAAUGCUUGGAACAGAAAGAAGGUCUCAGUGAAUCUUGCAGGCUGUACCACGUUUUGGUACUGAUUUAUGAGCGACAUGCCAAUGCUUAGCUUUACAGUUUGUCUGAUAUAUGCAAUGAAGGAAACACAGCUGCAUUUAUUACACUGAUUGCAUGAUCACAUAUUUGGUGCCCACAAAUUUUUGGGAAUAUUCAGACAGUAUAUUGUAAAAAUCCUACUUUCCCUCACUUUCCCGAAUCAUAGAAUCGUAGAAUCACUAAGGUUGGAAAAGACCCACAGGAUCAUCCAGUCCAAUCAUCCACCC